UACGUAGGGUGCGAGCGUUAAUCGGAAUUACUGGGCGUAAAGCGUGCGUAGGCGGUUCGUUGUGUCUGUGGUGAAAGCCCCGGGCUUAACCUGGGAAUGGCCAUGGAAACUGGCGAGCUGGAGUGUGGCAGAGGGGGGUGGAAUUCCAGGUGUAGCAGUGAAAUGCGUAGAUAUCUGGAGGAACACCGAUGGCGAAGGCAGCCCCCUGGGCUAACACUGACGCUCCAUGCACGAAAGCGUGGGGAGCAAACAGG
rnacentral:rRNA from 1 species